AAUAGAUGUAGAGACACACAGAGAAAAGAUGGCCAUGCAAAGACAGAGGCAGAAAUUGGAGUGAUGUAACUAUAAGGCAAGGGAUGUCAAGGAUUGCCAGCAACCACUAGAAGCUAGGAAGAGGCAGGGGAGGAUCCUUCGCCAGAGCCUUCAGAAGGAACAUAGCCCUGAAGACUCCAUUGUUUUGCACUUCUAGUCUGCAUAACUGAAAAUGAAUUUCAUACUCCAGUAGCAUUACCAAACUGCAUUUCCCCAUCAUGGUAGCCUAAGCCAGGAAGUGGAGAAAAGAGAAGGAUGUCAUUAAGUGGAAAAGAAUCAGGGCAUUUUGAGAGUGGUGUUUUUGGCCGUCAAGAUAAGUCAGUCAUUCUGAGGCAUGGAUGGACAGAGAGCAAGCACUGGCAAGAACAAGAACAGCAUUGCUCCCAUCAGGAUGAUAAAACACAAUGAUGGGAAUUUGGCUAAUUUUUCAAGUCUCAUCAGCGCAUCACCCAGUCAAUGAAAAGUGAUAUGAAGUCUCUGCUAAAAAUAGUCCAUGAUUCUUAUGACUCCAAAUCUGCUGGCUUAAAUUUUUCAAGGAAUUAAAAGUGAAAGAAUGACAUCACCUGCAAAUCAACCCUUCAAGAAGAUCUGAAGGAUGUUGUUACAUCCCUUGGCUGAAGCAUGAUCAAAAACAACCAAGAGAAACACCACCCAUGCUCAGGUUUCUGUGCCUCUGCAGGAUGACAGGAGGAGAAACCAUGCAGGUGCUAGAAUUGGUAUAUUCUUUAGAGUUUUGCUUUUGGUUGAUCCUGGCUAUACCCUGAAAAGUCAUGUCACAUACCGUAUUUGGCAAAAGUGCAAACAGAUGCUAACCUUCAGUCUAAACUCUAGAUUUCUGAACUAGCAAGCUGUCAAAUAGUAAAGAAGAUUUAAUUUAUCUUCCAUUUACAUAGCUUUUCUCCUAAGAGAGUAUGACCAACUCCUAUGACAUUGAUUCUUUACACAAUGGUUCCUUUGAGAUUUUGCUACCAAAGUAAAAUCAUUCAUUUUAAUUGUAA